GACGGGUGAGUAACACGUGGAUAACCUUACCUAUAAGACUGGGAUAAACUUCGGGAAACCGGAGCUAAUACCGGAUAAUAUUUUGAACCGCAUGGUUCAAAAGUGAAAGACGGUCUUGCUGUCACUUAUAGAUGGAUCCGCGCUGCAUUAGCUAGUUGGUAAGGUAACGGCUUACCAAGGCAACGAUGCAUAGCCGACCUGAGAGGGUGAUCGGCCACACUGGAACUGAGACACGGUCCAGACUCCUACGGGAGGCAGCAGUAGGGAAUCUUCCGCAAUGGGCGAAAGCCUGACGGAGCAACGCCGCGUGAGUGAUGAAGGUCUUCGGAUCGUAAAACUCUGUUAUUAGGGAAGAACAUAUGUGUAAGUAACUGUGCACAUCUUGACGGUACCUAAUCAGAAAGCCACGGCUAACUACGUGCCAGCAGCCGCGGUAAUACGUAGGUGGCAAGCGUUAUCCGGAAUUAUUGGGCGUAAAGCGCGCGUAGGCGGUUUUUUAAGUCUGAUGUGAAAGCCCACGGCUCAACCGUGGAGGGUCAUUGGAAACUGGAAAACUUGAGUGCAGAAGAGGAAAGUGGAAUUCCAUGUGUAGCGGUGAAAUGCGCAGAGAUAUGGAGGAACACCAGUGGCGAAGGCGACUUUCUGGUCUGUAACUGACGCUGAUGUGCGAAAGCGUGGGGAUCAAACAGGAUUAGAUACCCUGGUAGUCCACGCCGUAAACGAUGAGUGCUAAGUGUUAGGGGGUUUCCGCCCCUUAGUGCUGCAGCUAACGCAUUAAGCACUCCGCCUGGGGAGUACGACCGCAAGGUUGAAACUCAAAGGAAUUGACGGGGACCCGCACAAGCGGUGGAGCAUGUGGUUUAAUUCGAAGCAACGCGAAGAACCUUACCAAAUCUUGACAUCCUUUGACAACUCUAGAGAUAGAGCUUUCCCCUUCGGGGGACAAAGUGACAGGUGGUGCAUGGUUGUCGUCAGCUCGUGUCGUGAGAUGUUGGGUUAAGUCCCGCAACGAGCGCAACCCUUAAGCUUAGUUGCCAUCAUUAAGUUGGGCACUCUAAGUUGACUGCCGGUGACAAACCGGAGGAAGGUGGGGAUGACGUCAAAUCAUCAUGCCCCUUAUGAUUUGGGCUACACACGUGCUACAAUGGACAAUACAAAGGGCAGCGAAACCGCGAGGUCAAGCAAAUCCCAUAAAGUUGUUCUCAGUUCGGAUUGUAGUCUGCAACUCGACUACAUGAAGCUGGAAUCGCUAGUAAUCGUAGA
rnacentral:rRNA from 1 species